rnacentral:lncRNA from 11 species
UGCAUGUUUACAGCAAGACACGGUAUUAAGCCUUUCCCGCUCCAGACCUCCGGCCGCACGGCACAAAGACCCAGCAGCAGUGACCAGGCUGAGUCUGGCCCGCUCACCUGGCAGGUGAUCCCAGCUCUCCAGAAGCUCCCGUCCCCCAAGGAGCUCUUCUGGAAGAAGAAAAAGGGGCAGAAGCGGAAGAGCUUCGAGAAUGCCAGGGCCCUGUCGGUGUUUUGCCACCUGGAGGAGCUGAAGAGGAGGCAGAGCAGCAUCGAUGAGUAGGUAUCUUUUGACAUUCUUGGGAGACCUAGGUACAUAUGUGUGCAUGCAAGCAAA